CACACACACACACACACACACACACCUUUUGAAGAGUCGGAAGGCCCCGUUGAUCCGGCGAUGGCUGGAAGCGAGCGGAAAGAGUGCGGGGCAGAAAAAGACGAAAGGAAGGAAGUGCAGUGGUUUUGGGAAGAAACGCUAAGAACGAGAUGGAGUGUUCGAGUACUGCGGUGGGGUGAACAGGCAGUGGCAUCUUGUGGAUUCGCUAACCGAAUGUGACGAUUGGAAACGAAUACCAAGCAGGUUUGAGAAAAAACGGAGUCUGAGGAGAAGCAUACUUACCAGUUGUGUGUGUUAUAUUGAAGGCUUUAUGGGAAGACGAUACCAGGGCGAAAUCAAAGCAUCACUUCCGGGCAUCUGGCAAGUUGUCGGAGAGGAGAGAGAAACGGAAAAGGAGGAUUUUUACUAGAACAGGCCACCGUAAGCGGCCCCACCGUGGAUGACGAGACGGGUGGGUGAGCCGAAGCAUAGCAGGGCAGACGGAUGUUAUUUGUGGUGGCAACAACGCCAGCUGGAUCACUGACCGUGCCAGCGACCGCAAUCCCCUCUAGGGCAGAUCCCGACCAGGCGUGGAGUACCGACCUUAUAAAGUCACUGAAGUGUGUGUAGUGCAGUGGGUGAGUCUGUCCUUGACGUGUGUGCACCUGAAGUCUUGCAGUGUUGUGCUGUGUCUCUUGCUGUCUGUACUCACCCUCCAGGUCGAGAGGAGCCCUGCUGGAGAAAUCGUAAGCUGCCGCGGUGGUUGCCAUCUAUUCUAUACCUGCCUGCUUAUAACCCCGGCCCCUGUGUUCCCCUGCCCGAAG